UGCCAGCCGCCGCGGUAAUACGUACUGGGCGAACGUUAUUCGGAAUCACUGGGCUUAAAGGGUGCGUAGGCGGCUAUUCAGGUCUGAUGUGAAAUCUUUCGGCUCAACCGGAAAAUUGCGUUGGAAACCGGAUGGCUUGAGUGUGCUAGGGGUGUGAGGAAUUCCUGGUGUAGAGGUGAAAUUCGUAGAUAUCAGGAGGAACACCGAUGGCGAAGGCAUCUCUCUGGGUCGAUAUUGACGCUGAGGCGCGAAGGCGUGGGUAGCGAACGGGAUUAGAUA
rnacentral:rRNA from 1 species